GACCCUUUCGGGUUAUAUGGUCAAGCGAUUAAGCGCACACGGUGGAUGCCUAGGCAGCCAGAGGCGAUGAAAGACGUGGAAGCCUGCGAUAAGGCUCGGCGAGGUGGCAAACAACCUGCGACCCGGGCAUUUCUGAAUGGGGAAACCCACCCAGCACAAGCUGGGUAUCCCACACUGAAUCCAUAGGUGUUGGGAGGCGAACCAGGGGAACUGAAACAUCUAAGUACCCUGAGGAAAAGAAAUCAACCGAGAUUCCCCUAGUAGCGGCGAGCGAACGGGGACCAGCCCUUAAGCGUGUGACUGAUUAGGCGAAGGCAUUGGGAAAUGCCGCCAUAGUGGGUGAUAGCCCCGUA
rnacentral:rRNA from 2 species